rnacentral:rRNA from 1 species
CCUACGGGCGGCAGCAGUGAGGAAUAUUGGUCAAUGGGCGCGAGCCUGAACCAGCCAAGCCGCGUGAGGGAAGACGGUCCUAUGGAUGGUAAACCUCUUUUGUCGGGGAGCAAAAGACGCCACGCGUGGCGUUACGAGAGUACCCGAAGAAAAAGCAUCGGCUAACUCCGUGCCAGCAGCAGCGGUAAUACGGAGGAUGCGAGCGUUAUCCGGAUUUAUUGGGUUAAAAGGGUGCGCAGGGGGAAGCUCAAGUCGGCGGUAAAAUUGAGUGGCUCACCCUCUUCGAGCCGUUGAAACUGGUUUUCUUGAGUGAGCGAGAGGUAUGCGGAAUGCGUGGUGUAGCGGUGAAAUGCAUAGAUAUCACGCAGAACUCCGAUUGCGAAGGCAGCAUACCGGCGCUCAACUGACGCUCAUGCACGAAAGUGUGGGUAUCGAACAGGAUUAGAUACCCCGGUAGUC